rnacentral:lncRNA from 1 species
UUCAGUGUCUAAACUCAUUUUAGAACAUAAAUGAACCAAAUGCCAGUGAGAACAUGUCUCCCCACAGGCAUUCAGUGCUGGGCAGAACUGGUCCCCUCAGAAGGCCUGGGUGCUCCCCUGUGCAGAUCCCAUUAAGAAACCAAUGCUCCUCGGCCGUUCCCAUGAUCACCGAUUAACAUUUUAACAUUUUUUAAAAAAAUAAAAGUCAUUGUCAUUGGAAGAGCAGUUUGAUGAAAUGGAAGUCUGUACAUGUGACAAACGAACACGUAUGGCAAGGAGAAAUGGUGGCUGACAACUCUGGCAGCCAAACACUGCUGUGUGUCAGUAUUUCCUCACUUCACAUGGUUUUAAAAAGGUAACAAUGCCUCUUCCAGACUCAUGAUCCUCGUUCCUCAGCUGCUCACAGGGUCCAUCCUGCAGAGAAGUGCUAGGGGUCCUUCAGGGAGGAGUCCAUGAUCCUACUGAUAUAAAAUCCUCAAAAUGACAAAAAUCAUAGCAAUGGAAAACAGACUGGUGAUUGUCGGAGUUGGGGACGGCAGAAGGAAGUGGCUGUGCCUGAAAGGGGGUAGAGGGAGGUCUUGGGGUGAAGGAGCGGUGCCGUGUCUGGCCUGCAUGGACCUUCAGGUGUGAGGACAUGCAUGUGGCGGGCACCCGCACCAGUGUCGAAAAGGGCUAAGCUCACAUCUCUUCUAAGGCUUCACCCAUUUUUUUCUCUGCUCUCCUAUCUUUAGUCUCUCCCUGUCUUGGCUCGCUAGCUGAGACUGUUCUUUCCUUCCUCUUUCCACACCUCCUUCCAUUCAAAAGAGGAAACCCUUCCAAAGAGUAGCCCUACACCCAAUGUCCCAAUUUCCUCAUAGCUUCCGAAACCCGCGCCUUUACAGCCAGGCUUCCUCCACACUCUAACGGACCUGAUCGGUUGCCUCUUCCCAUGAUGACCCUCCCUGCCUCCCACACGCCCUUCUCCUGCAAGUCCACAGCUCCCUGAAACCCCUGCUUUCACAUCUCCAGAGUCUUGUGGAUGCUGUUCUUCUACCUGGAAUGCCAUCAAAGUCCAACAAAACACCAGCCCCUUCUAAAACCCAGCCCAUACUCUUUCAUCUUCACUUUCUCCUCAUCCCUACCCACUCCUGCUGAAAUUAGAAGUAUUUUCUGCAAACCCUAAAUUAAGAUUCCAAUUCUGCGGUACUAAACACUUUCUCCACAGCUCUACAACAUUUGUACUGAUUCCCUUCCCCCCUUGGAUUGGACAAUUCUGUCUCAACCACCAGACUAGCUAACAGCAGCUUGCUGAAGUGUGAGCUCAACAGGUAUCUGUCCAAUGAAUGAAUUACAUCCAUAGAAAAAAUGAUAUAUAAAAAUAUAUAAAAUUAGAAAUACAGUUUCAUUCAUUCUACAAACAUGUAUCAGGACCUACCAUUUACAAGGUAUUUCCCAGGGAGUCUAUAACAUAAAUGAUAGUACAGUGUAUGGUCUCAGAUCUCAGAAAGGUUCUAGAGAGGCAAUAAGAUAGACACAACUGUUUAGCUAAAAGCAAGGCUGGGAUUAAGUGAUGUGAAAUAAGCAAAAGGCACCUCGCAAACCAUAUGGCACUAUUCAAACACUGGGG